AAUCGGGGCAGGGUGAGUCGACCCCUAAGGCGAGGCCGAAAGGCGUAGUCGAUGGGAAACAGGUUAAUAUUCCUGUACUUGGUGUUACUGCGAAGGGGGGACGGAGAAGGCUAUGUUGGCCGGGCGACGGUUGUCCCGGUUUAAGCGUGUAGGCUGGUUUUCCAGGCAAAUCCGGAAAAUCAAGGCUGAGGCGUGAUGACGAGGCACUACGGUGCUGAAGCAACAAAUGCCCUGCUUCCAGGAAAAGCCUCUAAGCAUCAGGUAACAUCAAAUCGUACCCCAAACCGACACAGGUGGUCAGGUAGAGAAUACCAAGGCGCUUGAGAGAACUCGGGUGAAGGAACUAGGCAAAAUGGUGCCGUAACUUCGGGAGAAGGCACGCUGAUAUGUAGGUGAAGUCCCUCGCGGAUGGAGCUGAAAUCAGUCGAAGAUACCAGCUGGCUGCAACUGUUUAUUAAAAACACAGCACUGUGCAAACACGAAAGUGGACGUAUACGGUGUGACGCCUGCCCGGUGCCGGAAGGUUAAUUGAUGGGGUCAGCGCAAGCGAAGCUCUUGAUCGAAGCCCCGGUAAACGGCGGCCGUAACUAUAACGGUCCUAAGGUAGCGAAAUUCCUUGUCGGGUAAGUUCCGACCUGCACGAAUGGCGUAAUGAUGGCCAGGCUGUCUCCACCCGAGACUCAGUGAAAUUGAACUCGCUGUGAAGAUGCAGUGUACCCGCGGCAAGACGGAAAGACCCCGUGAACCUUUACUAUAGCUUGACACUGAACAUUGAGCCUUGAUGUGUAGGAUAGGUGGGAGGCUUAGAAGUGUGGACGCCAGUCUGCAUGGAGCCGACCUUGAAAUACCACCCUUUAAUGUUUGAUGUUCUAACGUUGACCCGUAAUCCGGGUUGCGGACAGUGUCUGGUGGGUAGUUUGACUGGGGCGGUCUCCUCCUAAAGAGUAACGGAGGAGCACGAAGGUUGGCUAAUCCUGGUCGGACAUCAGGAGGUUAGUGCAAUGGCAUAAGCCAGCUUGACUGCGAGCGUGACGGCGCGAGCAGGUGCGAAAGCAGGUCAUAGUGAUCCGGUGGUUCUGAAUGGAAGGGCCAUCGCUCAACGGAUAAAAGGUACUCCGGGGAUAACAGGCUGAUACCGCCCAAGAGUUCAUAUCGACGGCGGUGUUUGGCACCUCGAUGUCGGCUCAUCACAUCCUGGGGCUGAAGUAGGUCCCAAGGGUAUGGCUGUUCGCCAUUUAAAGUGGUACGCGAGCUGGGUUUAGAACGUCGUGAGACAGUUCGGUCCCUAUCUGCCGUGGGCGCUGGAGAACUGAGGGGGGCUGCUCCUAGUACGAGAGGACCGGAGUGGACGCAUCACUGGUGUUCGGGUUGUCAUGCCAAUGGCACUGCCCGGUAGCUAAAUGCGGAAGAGAUAAGUGCUGAAAGCAUCUAAGCACGAAACUUGCC
rnacentral:rRNA from 1 species